rnacentral:rRNA from 1 species
UACGUAGGGCGCAAGCGUUGUCCGGAAUUAUUGGGCGUAAAGCGCUCGUAGGCGGCCUGUUGCGUCCGCUGUGAAAUCCCGGGGCUCAACCCCGGGCGUGCAGUGGAUACGGGCUGGCUGGAGGCAGGCAGGGGAGAACGGAAUUCCUGGUGUAGCGGUGAAAUGCGCAGAUAUCAGGAGGAACACCGGUGGCGAAGGCGGUUCUCUGGGCCUGUACUGACGCUGAGGAGCGAAAGCGUGGGGAGCGAACAGG